rnacentral:rRNA from 1 species
GCCUACGGGAGGCAGCAGUGAGGAAUAUUGGUCAAUGGUCGGGAGACUGAACCAGCCAAGCCGCGUGAGGGGGGAAGAUACAGAGUAUCGUAAACCUCUUUUGCCAGGGAACAAAGGCGGGGACGUGUCCCCGGAUGAGUGUACCUGAAGAAAAAGCAUCGGCUAACUCCGUGCCAGCAGCCGCGGUAAUACGGAGGAUGCGAGCGUUAUCCGGAUUUAUUGGGUUUAAAGGGUGCGCAGGCGGUCUUUUAAGUCUGAUGUGAAAGCCUUCGGCUUAACCGGAGUAGUGCAUUGGAAACUGGGAG